UACGGAGGGAGCUAGCGUUGUUCGGAAUUACUGGGCGUAAAGCGCACGUAGGCGGCUAUUCAAGUCAGAGGUGAAAGCCCGGGGCUCAACCCCGGAACUGCCUUUGAAGCUAGGUAGCUAGAAUCUUGGAGAGGUCAGUGGAAUUCCGAGUGUAGAGGUGAAAUUCGUAGAUAUUCGGAAGAACACCAGUGGCGAAGGCGACUGACUGGACAAGUAUUGACGCUGAGGUGCGAAAGCGUGGGGAGCAAACAGG
rnacentral:rRNA from 1 species